rnacentral:rRNA from 1 species
GACGGAGGAUGCAAGCGUUAUCCGGAAUGAUUGGGCGUAAAGCGUCCGCAGGUGGCAGUUCAAGUCUGCUGUCAAAGACCGGGGCUUAACUUCGGAAAGGCAGUGGAAACUGAACAGCUAGAGUAUGGUAGGGGCAGAGGGAAUUCCUGGUGUAGCGGUGAAAUGCGUAGAUAUCAGGAAGAACAUCGGUGGCGAAGGCACUUUACUGGGCUAUUACUAACACUCAGAGACGAAAGCUAGGGUAGCAAAUGGG